AUACCGUUUCAAACCGGUAUUGAAAUCAAUACUGUAAUACCGAAAAUUAUUUUCAAUACCGUCAGCCCUAAAUUAAGGUGUAAACUAAAAUAUAAAAUAUAAAUUUCAAAUUUUAUAGAAUGGAGGAUAAUUUGAAAAACUGGCAACAGGCCCCUUGAUAAUAAUGUUCUACUAGAGAUGUAAUAUAAUAACCUAGAGAAAUAUUAAAAUAUUCUGACAUCACAUUUGUAUAAACUUAUUCUAGUACCUAUAUCCGCUCAAGUAUUGUGAAUUAGUAACAUGUUAAUACAAAAGUCGUAACUCAUAAUAUUUAUUUGAGGUAUUGACAUUUAAUUUUGUUUUAGUCAAGCAACAAUCAAAAAAUAUUAUCAACAAUUACCAUAAUCAUUUUUAUCCAAAUAGGCUUAGAACAUAGUUAAUACUUAAUAUUGAUAGUUGUUUAAAAAUAAAAUAACGUAUACAAAAGAAUUGGUCAGAUGGUUAAAUAUUUUUGAUACCUAAUUUACGUAAUUUGUAGUACAUAAAGACGACUGGCUGAUAAAACGAUUUUUUUUUUAGAAAAGUGUAAAGGUAAAAUGUUUUAAUUAAUAAACAAAUAGUAACUUCAAAUCGUUAUGAUAUAAUGAAUUUUAUACUUGUGCAAAAAAAGAUUGUACAGGUCUAAAUUGUGCAUAUUGGGAAAUCAUAUAUAAAUAAAUUCUUAAUGCUAGAAACGAAAUAUUACGGGAUUUUAUGAUUUUUUGGGGGAAAAUAAAAUAUUUUAUAACAACAGGAAAGGAGUGACGAAGAAAAAACGGAGAGUUAGGAGCAAUAUAGGUACAACGAAAAGAUCAUUGUAGAGACCAUCGUAAAGGUAGAUGAUGCAGUAGAUUGCACCAGGUAGGACAGAUAAUGAGGAGACGAAACUCAUUGCUAAGAUCUGUGAUUGAACCGAAGCUAGAUGGUCAAAGACCUUUGGUAGGACCAACAAUGAUGUUGGAUGAUACGGCGGAAGAGGACGUGCAAGCAUUAGGAGGCAAAUCAAAUUUCAAGACUCUGUCAUUAGAUAUUUAAAUAGAGAUAGUUGGAUAAUUGAUUGUGAGAUGUCCUAGUGUCCAGAUAAACCAGAAGAAGAAAAGGAAGAUGUUUACAUUUUAGAAAAAAAUUAAAAGGUUUAUGUAUAUUGUGCAUUUAUUAAUUAUUUUAGCUUUUUUAGCUUAAAAUAUUUUACUUAUGGUACUUAUAUGGUAACAACUCAAGCAUAGUUUUAUAUAAAUCUGUUUGAAUAAUUUUAAAAUGUUCUAGUGAUUCUAACUGAAUAUGCUGGAUUUAAAAGUAAGUAAAUUGUAAAUAAUUAAUUUUUAUUACAUCCUAGUUUUCGAAAUAUAUUCCUAAUUAAAAUAUAUAAGAAUUUACUUUUAUGAUCUAAAAGGUAAAUUUAAGCUAUUUUAAUUUUACCCAUUUGAAUAUUGGGGCAUAACAUGAACAAAUAUUUAUUCAUUUUUUUAUUAUUAGGAAAAUAAUUAGUAUUCUAACACUAAAACUUUGCAUGGAUGGUAAAAUGUGUGCUGUAAGUUCCAGGAUGCCAUUUUCCAAAAAAUUUUCAUAACUCCUGUGACACAACGUCUCUGACCAGAGAAAUUGUUCAUAUGCAAUGGCUUAUCAUUGAAUUCAAACAUGAUACAUCCAUUACAAUGACAUACUUGACAACUACUGUAAAUCAGACUGAUGGAGAAAUAGCUGACAUAACAAAAGCGGAAAGUAAAGAUGAUGAAAAUUAUGAAAUACAAACAGUGAAUUAUAAAGGUAUUUAUUUAAAAAUACAUAUGAGUGUUGUUUCCCCUCUCCUGAGAACUCUGGACCCAAGCCUGUAAUGUAUACCAUUCAAUGAAACGUCGCAUAUCUUUAUUUUUUAGAAAACUUCGGGGUUGGGGGCAGUUGUCCGAAAAAUGAUAAGGAAGUUUAUACCACAAUACCGUACCAGCAUAUACCAGCAUAUUCCAGUGACACCAAUUUGAAAAAGCAUCGUACAGUGAUGCCAUGCUAGCGGCACUCGUCGCUACGCUCCUCGGCGCCGUCGCUCCGCUCCGCAAAUCGAAAAUAUCCCCCGACUUGCUGUGCAACACCACCUCAAGUUGGUCACAGGGUAACCACAGGUGAACCACCGUACAACCACUCUUAUCGGUCUUUAUCAUUAUUCGGACAACUGCCAGCCACCGUGUUUAUAGAUUACCUACUGUAUUUUUAAAUAUUGUCUAUGUAAAACCAAUUAUUACACAUACAAUAAGUUAUAUUUAGUAAAUUGUCUUAGAUCUUAUAUUCAUAUUAUUUUAUAAUUAAUAUCAUACAGUUGAUAAGUAUUUAUAAUUAAUACAUAUUAUAACUUAUGUAUUUAGUCACGAAUUGAGAUUUUUAUGGUACCUAGGUACCUUAUAAUAAAUAUCUCAAAUAAUUUUAACCCCGUGAGGACGCGAGGUAUUAUUAUAUUUAUGGUUAUAAUAUGACUUGUCAUUCUGGGUCACAUUUGUUUAAUACGUAAGCACGUUUUUACAGUAGUUAUCAUGAAGAUUUAAAACUGCAGAAAUACUUACGAUUGCAAAAUCGAAAACUAUGAUAAAAACUAAGCUAAUAUAACAAAAUAUUGUGAGGCCAACUAAAUUUCUAAACAGAAAAAAAACAUACCUAUCUAAAAAAAAAAAAUCGCUAAUAAAAAAUGUCAGGUCUACUAAACUAAAACUGAACUCAUUUAUUGUAAUCCAUAUAUUUGUUUUUAUAGAAAAGAAUGACGGUGAGUAGUUACCGUUAAGUAGAUAUAUGUAAUGAGUUUUAUAAUUUGUCUUAUUGAAGGAAGUAGGUAAAAAAUGGAUUUGAAGAGUAUAAAAAAAUUGAAAUUUUGAUCUUCCUUAUACCUACAUGGGCUACAUGAUAGUACUUACCUAUAGUUGUAUAGGAUGUUUUUGUUGGUUCAUUGCAUUACAAAAUUAUACAAAAUCUUGAUAAAGUAACUAACAGUGUGCAUAGCUUAGAAAUAGGUUAGUAUUCUGUUUCAAAUCUAAAUAUUGAAUUAAAAUAAUUGGAACCAUUAUAUGUUAAUAAGUACCUAAUGCCUAAUUAACAAUUAUUAUACUAACUUGUAAAUUGAUCAU